UUGCUUCCGAUUGGACAUAAACAGACAACACAAUGAUACUUACACAUAAAAUAUUAGAGCAAUGGUCCUUAAAAUUAUCAUAGAUAUGGCUAUGUAACCGGUUUAUGUUUCAUUUGUUCGCAUGCGGGUGUUAAUUUUAGGUUUUCGAACUAUCGACGAGAUGCUGGGAAUCAUGUUUAUUUAAUAUACAAUAAUUGUACUGAAUCCCAAAUGACUAUGGAUUACUUGAGGGCUCUAUUGCUUUUAGGGGCUGUCCAUAAAUAACAACGAGGCAAAAAAAGGUUUACAGACCGACAGGUGAAAGGGAAGAAACGGAUACACAAGAACGUACCA